rnacentral:ncRNA from 1 species
UUUUUUGAGAGUUUGAUCCUGGCUCAGGAUGAACGCUGGCGGCGUGCCUAAGGUAUGCAAGUCGAACGCGCUCCGCAAGGAGUGGCGUGGCGGACGGGUGAGUAACGCGUGGGAAUCUACCUCCAAGUCAGUGAUAACCCCGAGAAAUCGGGGACAAUCACCGAUAGUCCCGCAAGGGUAAAGAUUUAUCGCUUGGAGAUGGGCCCGCGUCCCAUCAGCUAGUUGGUAGGGUAACGGCCUACCAAGGCUACGACGGGUAGGGGGUGUGAGAGCAUGACCCCCCACAAUGGCACUGAGACAAGGGCCAUACGCCUACGGGUGGCAGCAAUCGGGAAUCUUGCACAAUGGACGCAAGUCUGAUGCAGCGACGCCGCGUGAAGGAUGAAGGUCGAAAGAUUGUAAACUUCUUAAUUUGCCGAAAGGCAGAGGAUGAAGCCCCGGCUAACUACGUGCCAGCAGCAGCGGUAAAACGUAGGGGGCGAGCGUUAUCCGGAUUUACUGGGCUUAAAGAGUACGUAGGUGUUUCGGGAAGUCUUGGCUUAAAGCCCGCGGCUCAACCGCGGAACGUGUCGAGAUACUUCCGAAAUUGAGGAAGGUAGGGGGUGGCGGAACAUUGCAAGGAGGGGUGAAAUCCGAUGAUCUGCGAUGGAACACCGAAAGCGAAGGCAGCCACCUGGGCCUUUCCUGACACUGAGGUACGAAAGCUAGGGGAGCGAAACGGAUUAGAUACCCGUGUAGUCCUAGCCGUAAACGAU